AAGAAAAGAAAAGAAAAGAAAAACACGCAAACCCUCUUUCCCUCUCAGAUCUACCUCUUCCCCACCAGAUCUCACUUUCUCUCUCUCGUGUCCGAUCUGCCAAACUUGAACGAUCGCUUUCCAGUCGCCGGAAAGCUACACGUGUCGUACAGGCGUGUUCCCCGGCCUCCGAAAUUUCGACCCCCACGAACCCGCGGCCGUACGCGCCCCUUAAGGUCCCCCAUUGGGCUUUCAAAGUUCGAACGAAUGGGAGUGCUACGAAGCUUUCCAAGUACUUUUUGGACACCCUAAGCUACCACUAGCCGAGCCGCCACCACCACCAUACUCCUUAUGUUUUGGGCUUCAAAACCCACUGAAGGAUCAGACUCAACUGUGGUCGGAAUUGGAAUCGACGUUUUGGCUGGCUUAAAUCUGAAAUGGAUAUUUGAUUUUGGACUAGCAAAAUAGAUGCCAUCUUAAUGGACUCAUCAUUCAAUUGCUCUUAAUAUUUCUCAGGCUGACCUUAUCAUCAACAAGUAAGCCGCAUGCUUCUUCAUUCCUGUAUUGUGACGGUUUCUCUCUGUGUUAACGGAGAAGAUGAAGAAUGGUAAGUGUUUUUCUGUUCUUUUUUCUUUUUGUUAGUUUCUCACUGAUAACUGAAAUGUAAUUGUGAUAUAAAAUAUCAAUCUUUUUCUUACUAGUAACUCAAAUUUUGUUUUGAAUUUUUUGGUUUGUUAUGCUAUAAUCUAUUUGAUAUAUGUUCAGGUUUUAUAAUAUUGCUUAAUCGGUAGUAUUUAUGUUCAAGAUUCUUCUUAAUCUAUUAGUUUUCUGAAUUACUAUGCUCUGUCAUGCUUAGUAUUAUUGUUCACUACAAGAAAAAGCUAUAUUAAUAGUAUUGACUUUGCACAUUUAAAAGAAAACGUCAUCCAGCCCCCUGUGAAAUUUCUGGGGUCAUUUAGGUGGCUUUAUACUAUAUUAUAUUUUCUUUUCUUGCUAAGUACUAUGGACUUAGAAUCUCAUGCAUAUUACCUACAUAGUGCAUGUCUUUAUAUGUGUGUAUAUAUGUAUAUUAAUUUCUCAUUUAUUGUAUAUUUGCUAAUGUGCUGUGAA